rnacentral:lncRNA from 1 species
CGAUUGAUUCAUAGUUGAACAUUAUGGCAACAAGACAUCUACAUACUCUGAAAGAGAUUAAAAAAAAAUUCAGGUACGUACGUCGCUCAAGAUUCAUAUAAACAUGAUUCAUUGACAGAUUUCAGUGAUUUCUGGGUGUAACACAAUAAUAAUAUUUACGCAUAUACAGAUUUGUCCAAGAGCCAAAUACAUCAUCAACGUUCACAAAAACAACAGAGUACAUACACCCACGGCCACACACAAAAUCCUCAGAUUAUUCACUAGACACCAAUAAUUUGAAGCUGCAGAGUCCCAUCACCCAGCAAGCAAGAACACUGACAAUUAAUUUAAUGAUCACCAUAUAUGGACGGAUAAGAUCAUCACUUCAUAUGAGCAAGCUAG